rnacentral:snoRNA from 1 species
GUUUUAUAUCGUUGAAGUUAGAUUAAGCAAUUAGUGGUUUUUGUUUUUUUUGGUUUAUGGGUUGAUUUUUUGAUAAAGAUAAAGAUGCCUCUUCUUUCAGCAGCAAGAUCUAUACUUGUUAGCUUUGUUCUGGAGGCACAUAU